rnacentral:rRNA from 1 species
CCGGUGCCGCCGUCACUUUCCCGUCUCCUUCCUCCGUCCUCCUUCCUUCCUGGUCAAAUCCAUCGAUUCCAGAAGCCUCCUCCUUCCCCGCGAAGCAAACCAGCAAACAGCCCAGAUCCAAACCCCCGCCCUACGAAUCCCCUCUCGGAAACCCUAACCUCACUCCAUGCCCUCCCGGACCCCUCCCCGCGGCUGACGGCGACGACGACGAUGAGGUCGCUCCGCCGGGUCCUCCUCCCGCUCGUCCUCCUGUCGGGCCUCGCCUUCCGCGGGGCCCGCUUCGAGGACGACGCCGCCGCCGCCCCUGCCCCCCUCCUCCUCCCGCUCCCCCUGCCGCCGCAGCAGCCGGCGCCGUCCCUCGCGCUCCCCGCCGGCGGGGGGCGAGGGGACGAGGCGGGCUCCACGGAGAUCGUCCCCGCGGAGCAGCCGUCGCUCAGGGAGCUCCUGGUCAGGCCGCCGCGCCGCCGGCCGGUGCCGUCGAACGCUGUAAAGAACCCGGAUGUAGGACCCGGCAUCAGCUCUGAACUGCGAUUUUAUGACAAUGGCACAAUUCAACUUGUGGACCGUCUAUCAGAAUCUCCUCUGUGGCAGUUCUCCACAGGACCACCUCUGUCCAAGCACAUUACUACCACAAACUCUGAUUUGAGCUAUCUCAUAUAUCCUUUGGACGAGUCUGAUCUCGUGGAAGUUCAUAAUGGCACCGGUGUGAAACUUCCCUGGGAACUGGAAGAGUUUAUCGCUAGAACUCCAUACAUACGGGAUUCUGUGGUUACUAUUGGAUCAAAAGCCUCGACAACUUUUGCUGUUGAUGCUGAUAGUGGUGAGAUCAUUUACAAGCAUAGUCUGCCAGCCGCCUUGAAUGAGUUAGCAGUCCCGGUUGGUGAAGCACCAUCCAAGUUAGAUGUUGGUAGAAGUUCUAAUAUCAUCGUGGUUGUGAGAACCGAUUAUUCUAUCAGUGCAUCAGAUCUUGGUGUACAUUUGUUUAACUGGACACGAUCUUCUUUCUCUGCAAACUACUAUGUUAAACAAAGCCAUCCAAAUAUGCUUGAACAAUCAUCCUGUUUGCAAGAAAAUAUUCCGUGCAUUAGGACCGAUGGUGUACCAAUCAAACUUACUUUACCUGAUUCCAGUACAGCCAAUGCACUUGUCUUGCAAGAUGUGAACAAAGUUACCACUAGGGAUGGUGCUGAUGCUUUGAGACAACUUCAAACUUUGGUGAUUCCACAGCAAACUGCUAGCAAGUCUGGUGUAGCCCUGAAUGACACUCAGAAUCAAACUGUUGAUGGUGCUCUUGUUCAUCUUGUCCCUGCUGACCCCCAAACCAACAGGUUCACUAAUAAUGCUUAUGGAUUGCUAUUCCCGGUGCUUACCUUAUUGGUGGUCCUUGCUUGGCUGGUGAGGUUGGCCUAUUCAAGCAAGUCUUGCAAGCAAUUCAUGAGUGUACUUAUGAAGCCAUUUGUUCGUGAACAGAAAUCAAUAGACCUUAGAGGGAAGUCAGAGGGAACAUCUAAGAGAAGGAAAACGCGGAAGAAAGAUGGAAGGGCCAAUAGCACAGAGAUCGGUUCAGCAUCUGACAAAGAGAGCAGUGGAACUGGUGGGUCAAAUGAGAUGCUGUAUGCACUCCCUGAUGGCCUUGACGGAUGCCAGAUUGGAAAACUUCGUGUUCACAAGAAGGAAAUUGGUAAAGGGAGCAAUGGCACAGUUGUCUUUGAGGGUUCCUAUGAUGGACGUGAAGUUGCAGUGAAACGCCUGCUUCGUUCACACACUGAUAUAGCCCAAAAAGAGAUUCAGAAUCUUAUUGCAUCGGAUCGUGAUCCUAAUAUUGUUAGACUGUAUGGCUGCGAUCAGGAUGACAAUUUUGUUUAUAUUUCCCUUGAGAGGUGCCGCUGCAGCUUGGCUGAUCUGAUCCAACAGCAUACAGAUCCAUCUUUUUCAGAUGUUGAGAAAAUAGAUGUAGAACUUUGGACGCAGGAUGGACUUCCUUCGCCACAACUCCUAAAGCUGAUGAGAGAUGUUGUCGCUGGUAUUGUGCAUUUGCAUAGUUUAGGAAUCAUACAUCGCGAUUUGAAGCCACAGAAUGUCUUAAUAAGUAAGGAGGGAUCUCUCAGUGCAAAGCUUUCUGAUAUGGGUAUCAGUAAGCGUUUGCAAGAGGAUAUGUCGUCUCUUAGUCAUCAUGGCACUGGAUAUGGAAGCUCCGGUUGGCAAGCACCUGAGCAGCUUCGUCGUGCUAGUCAGACUCGUGCAAUGGAUUUAUUUAGUUUGGGCUGCCUUAUUUUCUAUUGUAUCACUAAAGGCAAGCAUCCGUUUGGUGAGUACUAUGAACGGGACAUAAACAUUAUAAACGGUCACUUUGAUCUCUUCGUGGUGGAUCACAUACCAGAAGCGGUGCAUCUUAUUUCUCUGUUGUUACAACCAAAACCAGAUGAGAGACCCACGGCGAUGUACGCGAUAAAUCAUCCUCUCUUUUGGAGCCCUGAGUUGCGGCUUUUGUUUCUAAGAGAUACCAGCGAUAGAAUUGAGAAAACCACUGAAACUGACCUCCUUAAUGCUUUGGAAAGCAUAGGGCUUCAAGCUUUCGGUGGAAAAUGGCGAGAAAAGUUGGAUGAUGGUCUGGUUGCCGAUGUGGGUCGUUAUAGGAAAUAUAAUUUCGAGUCAACUCGUGACCUUCUCAGGUUGAUUAGAAACAAGUCAGGACAUUACAGAGAGCUUCCAGCUGAUCUCAAGGAGUUACUUGGGUCACUGCCCGAGGGAUUUGAUCGAUAUUUCUCGAGCCGAUUUCCAAAGCUGCUGAUUGAAGUGUACAAGGUCAUGUCAGUUUAUUGCAAGGAUGAAGAAGAUUUCAGGAAAUAUUUCAUUGGGAUGUCGACUUAACUAAAGAAGAUGUCGUCCCUCUACUGUAUGCACUAACAGCCUUCACCUAGCAAAAUGUAUGUACAUGUGAUCUGUAUCAUAUUAUCAUUGAAAGAAAUCAUAAGAGAUCUCAGUUAUUAAUCUGUACAUUGUAUGUCACAGAACUGUAUUGUUAUAGUGUCACUGAUUAAAAAAAUGGAUUAUUAUCCAUACAAAUAAAUCGAUGGAUUUUCAGAAUAUCUCACGACAUAUUGAGUUUU